rnacentral:rRNA from 1 species
GAUGAACGCUGGCGGCGUGCCUAAUACAUGCCAGUCGAGCGAACGGACGAGAAGCUUGCUUCUCUGAUGUUAGCGGCGGACGGGUGAGUAACACGUGGAUAACCUACCUAUAAGACUGGGAUAACUUCGGGAAACCGGAGCUAAUACCGGAUAAUAUUUUGAACCGCAUGGUUCAAAAGUGAAAGACGGUCUUGCUGUCACUUAUAGAUGGAUCCGCGCUGCAUUAGCUAGUUGGUAAGGUAACGGCUUACCAAGGCAACGAUGCAUAGCCGACCUGAGAGGGUGAUCGGCCACACUGGAACUGAGACACGGUCCAGACUCCUACGGUAGGCAGCAGUAGGGAAUCUUCCGCAAUGGGCGAAAGCCUGACGGAGCAACGCCGCGUGAGUGAUGAAGGUCUUCGGAUCGUAAAACUCUGUUAUUAGGGAAGAACAUAUGUGUAAGUAACUGUGCACAUCUUGACGGUACCUAAUCAGAAAGCCACGGCUAACUACGUG